rnacentral:rRNA from 1 species
AUUGAACGCUGGCGGCAUGCCUUACACAUGCAAGUCGAACGGCAGCACGGGUGCUUGCCCCUGGUGGCGAGUGGCGCACGGGUGAGUAAUACAUCGGAACAUGUCCUGUAGUGGGGGAUAGCCCGGCGAAAGCCGGAUUAAUACCGCAUACGAUCUACGGAAGAAAGCGGGGGCCCUUCGGGCCUCGCGCUUUAGGGUUGGCCGAUGGCUGAUUAGCUAGUUGGUGGGGUAAAGGCCUACCAAGGCGACGAUCAGUAGCUGGUCUGAGAGGACGACCAGCCACACUGGGACUGAGACACGGCCCAGACUCCUACGGGAGGCAGCAGUGGGGAAUUUUGGACAAAGGGCGAAGGCCUGAUCCAGCAAUGCCGCGUGUGUGAAGAAGGCCUUCGGGUUGUAAAGCACUUUUGUCCGGAAAGAAAUCCUUGGCCCUAAUACGGUCGGGGGAUGACGGUACCGGAAGAAUAAGCACCGGCUAACUACGUG